AGAAGAAAGACGCAAAGGGAGCAGUAGGAAGAGGGAUAGGGAAAAAAAGGUUGGUUAAAAUUACACGGCGAUCGCCAAAGAGAGAGCACGCAACUGGCGCCUCCGCUUUCGCGGUCGCUGGUCGCGAGGCGGGUGCGCGCGUCGUCGCCGUCCGAUCAGAGCGAUUCGCAACAGCAUGCGCGUGGUCCAGACCAGGCGCUCACCAUGGUCGCUGACGUCGUCAUCAUUGUCGUCGGUGCGGGCGCUGGCGACGUCUGUGUCUCUGCCUUGCUCCGCUGGAAGAAGUUCGCUGCCGUCGCCUUGGGCGUUUUGAUCUCGAAUAUCGGGUGCACUAAUAGUAUGCGUGGCCGACCGACUCGGCUGCCGGUCAAUCUGCUGUCGUCGCUGUUGUCGUCCUUGCAUAGGGUCUACUGCCUCUGCGUUGCCAUUGCGAUCGCUCGCGUCGCCGCAAAAGGCCACAGACAAAGGGGCGGCGCCGGCGUCGCACGGCGUUUCGUCGGGGUCGUUCCGGGCCGCGGCCUCGUCGGCCCAACCAGGGCAUUCGCACGGACGCGGCGCAGGUUGGUACGGAUGGAGGACGGCCUGUGCAUAGGCCAAGUGCGGGAGCCGCCGCGCGACUGCACAGGCAAACGAUGCGGCUCGCGUCCCGUGGACGGCAUAGGCCAUGUCGACAGCGUGCUGCAUGACGCCGUCGCCAGCCACAUGACAGAGGUGACCAACCAUGAGCGUGUCUCUCAUGGGCAAAGCAGAGACGAUGAGUGCGCUGUCGAUCACAGCACCGCGUGAUAGCGCGAGGUCGAGCAUGGACACGGUCGACUUGGCCAUGAUCAGGCAGAGCGCGCCCUGCCAGUCAAAGGGCACCGUCAUCACACACUCGACGGCACGGACAGUGUCGGGCGCGCUGGUGACAAUCGCCCUCCACAUGACGUCGGCAUUAAAGAGCGAUGGGUCGCACGCCGCGAUCCACUCGACCACGCCCAGGCGAUUGCGCGGCAGCGCGGCAAACAGCAUGGCCUGUAGCGUGUCGCGAGGCACUGGGUGGCACGCGCAUUGCGGCAGUCGGCCGAGUUCCGAAAUCGAGUCGAUGAGUGCGGUGUGACCUCCCUGCGCGGCACCGAUGAGCACGGGCCAGCGGCACGACAAGAGGCCCGCAUCGAUGACGGCGUCGAUCGUGGCGGCGUGACCCGCACAUGCACACUCGCACACGGCCCUCCACAGGUCGUCGCGCUCCAGGUGCGGCGCCCCGUUGCUCAACAUCCACGUGGCCAUAAGGGAACGGCCUUGCCUGAUGGCGCGUGCUACGUCUUUGACGGUGCAUGGCCUAUAGGCGCUGCAAUUGUGACGGCGCGCCCAUUCGAUGACACUGGGAGACGCCAGAUGCCACGCCUGGUCGCCCAUGGCGACGUCGCAACACGGACGCGCAUCGGUGUGUGUCGAGCCAGCGUCGAGUUGAUGCAGGUAGGCAAUGACGCCGAGACUUUGCGCGUUGAACGCGCGGCGCAUCUUGUCCUCGCCGGUCAUAUCAACGGGUCCCGCACCAAAGAGCGGCGCGGUCGCGAGCCUAUCGAGUAUGUCGACGUUGUCGCCAUCGAUGGCCGAGCGAACGAGCCUGUCAACGAGCAAGGCGGCCGCCCGGCGUUUCUCUUGGCUACACACGCCGCUGUAGGACGCGGCACCACCGCCAUCGGCCGGCCCGUCCUCAUGUUUCGACAGACCGUUCGCCGCAGCACAUGCGCUAUCAAAGACAUCGACGUGUCCGUCAGCCGCCGCCGUCAGCAGCGCGCCGAUGAGCCAGCCGUGCGUCUCGGGGACCAGCAUGCGUGCCAUCGCGUCGAGCGUCACUGGGCGAUCGAUAUGACGCGCAAGGACAUCCACACCGUGCACGGUGUGUUCUCUGGCAGCCGGGCGGAACACGUGUUGCGCAUCGAGCACAGCUGCAAACUCGCCCAGUGUGUUUAUAGAGCGCGCGCUGCAUCCGGGCCUUUGCGCUGCAGUCGGGUCUCGCUCGGUGAUGCCCGAGUCUGUUUGCGGGCGCGCGUGCAUCCAAACGGCGUCGUCUGCGGGGAGCGUGUUGCGCAAUGCGUGGCUGAAAGGUGGCAAUCGUCCCUUGUCGUGGCUGGCCAGGCUCUAGCUGGGCGACGGGAAGAAAAAGAAAAGAGGAUGAUUGAGAAGGGGCGGCCGCCACGCGUUGGUGCGCUCUUGCGCCCAGUCCCGACCAAGGACAAACAUGCGGGCUCAUCCGGCGGUCACAAAUGCUACCAAUCACAAAAAACAUUCCAAAAAAACAAAUGGGCGGUCCGAUCCAGAAAAGAUUGACGUGCGAACCGUUGCCCAUGGCAGCUUUCUGGCCGCUCCUCUUUUCGUGCAGUCUGUUUUCGUAGCUGCUUUUUUCCUCAUUUCGACGCGUGCCAAGGAGG
rnacentral:lncRNA from 1 species